rnacentral:rRNA from 1 species
CACGUAGGGCGCAAGCGUUGUCCGGAAUUAUUGGGCGUAAAGAGCUCGUAGGCGGUCUGUUGCGUCCGCUGUGAAAACCCGGGGCUUAACCCUGGGCUGGCAGUGGAUACGGACAGACUAGAGGUAGGUAGGGGAGAAUGGAAUUCCCGGUGUAGCGGUGAAAUGCGCAGAUAUCAGGAAGAACACUUAUGGCGAAGGCAGCUCUCUGGGACGGUACUGACGCUGAGACGCGAAAGCGUGGGGAGCGAACAGG